rnacentral:rRNA from 1 species
AUUGAACGCUGGCGGCAGGCCUAACACAUGCAAGUCGAGCGGAUGAAGGGAGCUUGCUCCUGGAUUCAGCGGCGGACGGGUGAGUAAUGCCUAGGUAUCUGCCUGGUAGUGGGGGAUAACGUCCGGAAACGGGCGCUAAUACCGCAUACGUCCUGAGGGAGAAAGUGGGGGAUCUUCGGACCUCACGCUAUCAGAUGAGCCUAGGUCGGAUUAGCUAGUUGGUGGGGUAAAGGCCUACCAAGGCGACGAUCCGUAACUGGUCUGAGAGGAUGAUCAGUCACACUGGAACUGAGACACGGUCCAGACUCCUACGGGAGGCAGCAGUGGGGAAUAUUGGACAAUGGGCGAAAGCCUGAUCCAGCCAUGCCGCGUGUGUGAAGAAGGUCUUCGGAUUGUAAAGCACUUUAAGUUGGGAGGAAGGGCAGUAAGUUAAUACCUGGCUGUUUUGACGUUACCAACAGAAUAAGCACCGGCUAACUUCGUG